GCGGUGCGCGCGCUCAUUGGUGCACGAGCAUCGGUCCGAGUGUCGGCAGGUUCGCAGUCAGUCACCUCAGAGCAGGAGAAAACACCUGCUGCUUCUGUAUGGGACAUGGAGCGACUGAGCACUGAUUCGCUGGGAGCUGAAGCCGAUGGCUUCUUUGACAUGCUGGAUGAGAGGAGGCGGAGCAGUGACUUAGGUUACGCCUUCCGGAGCUUCAACCCUCAGCCGUACCGUGGAGCCACGCCCAUUUCAGCUAGCACUCUCAAGAGGAUGGUGCUUGAAUCACAGAACCUGAGCUACAUCAUACAGGAGAUCACGCUUGAGAGUGACGAACCACGUGAAGUGCUUUUACAGGAAGCCUCUGCCCUGCUGGAUGAGAUGAGUCAAAACCUUCAGUUGGGAUUCAUUCGUCUGCUGGGCUUCGCAAUGAACAAAGUUUUUCAGAGCGUCUUCAGCUCUAUACGCGUCAAUGAGGAUGGACUCACACGGCUCCAGCAAGCCAUUCAGGAGUAUCCCGUCAUCCUGUUGCCCAAUCACAGGAGCUACAUGGACUUCCUUGUUCUGUCUUACAUCAUGUUCACUUAUGACCUCUCUAUCCCCGUCAUUGCAGCUGGAAUUCCUCUGAUGGGGAUGAAGCUGUUCGGUGAGGUCUUUCGGCGGUCAGGUGCGUUCUUUAUCCGUCGUGCCAUUGGCUCAGACAAGCUGUACUGGGCGGUGCUGUCUGAGUACGUCAGAACCAUUGUGCGGACAGGUUAUGCUCCAUUAGAGUUUUAUAUUGAAGGAUUACGGAGCAGAACGCUGAAAUCUCUCACACCAAAACUAGGAAUGCUGCAUAUGGUCCUAGAGCCUUUUUUUAAAGGAGAGGUGUUUGACAUCAGUCUGGUGCCCAUCAGCAUCAGUUACGAGCGCGUGUUGGAGGAGUCGCUUCUCGCUCAUGAGCUGCUGGGUGUGCCUAAGCCAAAAGAGACCACAGGGGCUUUGCUGAAGGCCAGGACUGUGCUAAAGGAGAAUUAUGGCUGCAUGCAUGUGUUCUUUGGCAACCCUGUGUCAGUCAGAGACCUGGUGAAGGGAAAAAUAAACCUCGGACAGUAUAAUCUGGUGCCCAGAGACCUGCCUAUGAAGCCCAGUAAGGAGAUGCAGGAGUUUGUAUCUGGUCUAGCCCACAUGAUCGUCCGUUUGCAGGAGAGAAAUGUGGUCCUGAGUGCCUGGAACCUGAUGGCCGUGGUUCUCCUUCAGAACCUCCAGGGCAUUGAUUUGGACCUGCUGACCCAUAAAACCCUGUGGCUGAGGAGACUUGCCCUGCGGUGUGGAGCUCACCUCAGAUGGCCCGAGAAUGUUUCAGAUUCUGAGGUGAUGUCAUCGAGCUUGAGCCUGCAUCACUCAGUCAUACGCUGUGAGAGGGGGCGUGUCUAUUUAAUGGAGGAGGAAGGGCCGGGGCCUGUCACUCAAGAGGAGGGCGUGUUCAGACAAGCUGCUGCUGUGCUCAUGUGCGCCUCCUACAGGAAUCAAGCAGUACAUGUAUUCACAAGACCAGCUAUGGUGGCAGUGGCUAUGACAACAGCUGCAAGCCAUAGGACAGAUGAUAUCUUUCAUAAUUUUGCGUUCCUGCUGGAGCUCUUUUCCAAUGAGUUUGUUGUAAUUCCUGGUCAAGCUGUUCAGGACUUUGAGGAGGGCUGUUCAUUGCUACAGGAGUCUGGUGUAAUCGGCCGCUCUGAUGAAGAGAUCCAUGUGAGAGACAAUGGCCAAGAAACCAUCAUCUUCCUCAGAGCCAUUCUGCAGCCCUUCAUUGAGAGCUACCAGGUGGUGUUUAGGUACCUGUGUGAAGAGAGUUCACAGACACUGAGAGAGAAGACGUUUUCAACCAACAGCCGCAGUUUCAUCAUGAAGCUCCUUAUUUCAGGUGAAGUUCAGUCGUAUGAGUGUUUAUCGUCUGACCUACAGAAGAAUGUUCUCUCAGCUUUGCUCAGGAUGGAUGCUGUGACCAAAACUAAAGUUGAUGACCAGAAUGAGUUUAGAGUCAAUAAAUCUGCAGUGAAGAAAAUAUGGGACAUGCUGAGUAAUGGAUGGACCCGUCAGAUCAGUGUAGACGCCAGACUGUGAUGAGAAGAAUCGGACAACAGCAACUCUUGAUUCUUUUAUUGUAGAAUUGCUAAUAUGUAUAGAAAGCAGCAUCUUCUGCGGCCAGCGCACCGUGGACGCAAUGAGAAACAGCGCCGCCUGCAGGACGUGUCUGACAGCGACACACAGAGUCGACACGACCGCUAGAAACAGAGAGAGAGACUCCCAGAGCAAACACACUCCUUCCAGGAAAUAAACAAUGGCUUUUCUACUACUAUUAGAAAUAUACUCGGGCUGAGAACUAUGCCAUAACAAAUUUUCAUUCAUGCAAUCACUGGUCAAAUGAAUACGCCAAGCUGUAGCCAAGUGUUGACCAGCACGACGCAGGUGUAACAGCACCAGAUUCAGCUGACACACGGCUGUGGUCAACACAUGAAGAACCAAACGACACUCGCCAACAGAUUUUCCUGCGAAUGAGAAAGAAUCGCAUAUGAAACACGCAUAUGUUAAUGUUUUAAAAGUUUACACAUAGCCUAACGUUACUGCUCUCUCGUUUCUAAAGAGUAUACAAAAUAAAAAAGAAAACUAAUUG